rnacentral:tRNA from 1 species
UUACUUUGGCAGAUUAGUGCUUUAAAUUUAGAAUUUAAUAAUGUAUGGUUAAUACAGGUAAUAA